rnacentral:rRNA from 1 species
UACGGAGGGGGCUAGCGUUGUUCGGAAUUACUGGGCGUAAAGCGCGCGUAGGCGGCUUUGCAAGUUAGAGGUGAAAGCCCAGGGCUCAACCCUGGAACUGCCUUUAAAACUGCAUCGCUAGAACGUCGGAGAGGUAAGUGGAAUUCCGAGUGUAGAGGUGAAAUUCGUAGAUAUUCGGAAGAACACCAGUGGCGAAGGCGACUUACUGGACGACUGUUGACGCUGAGGUGCGAAAGCGUGGGGAGCAAACAGG